GUACAAUUUAUGGAAAUGUGCUACCAAGGGGUACUCAGGUGAAAAAAAGGUUGACAACCACGGUCAUAAAGAAACAAUGGAGCAUGGCCAUUGAUGGACUGUCUGGCUGAAAUACAGGAAGCAGGGAGAUAUGAUAUGUAGUCACAUGAGAAGAUAAACUGCUCACAGUAAAGAUUUAGUAAAAUGAAAAUCCAGCACACUCCCUUAUCUACUAAACAGCUGAUAGAUUUUGCUAGUUUUAUUAAAAACACAUAAUCUAGGCAAAAAAUAAUGGGGGUUUAGUUACAUUAUAUAAUCA